GACGAACGCUGGCGGCGUGCCUAAUACAUGCAAGUCGAGCGAAUUUUUGGGAGCUUGCUCCCAAAGGUUAGCGGCGGACGGGUGAGUAACACGUGGGCAACCUGCCUAUAAGACUGGGAUAACUUCGGGAAACCGGAGCUAAUACCGGAUAAUUCAUAUCUACUCAUGUAGGUAUGCUGAAAGACGGUUUACGCUGUCAAUUAUAGAUGGGCCCGCGGCGCAUUAGCUAGUUGGUGAGGUAACGGCUCACCAAGGCAACGAUGCGUAGCCGACCUGAGAGGGUGAUCGGCCACACUGGGACCGAGACACGGCCCAGACACCUACGGGAGGCAGCAGUAGGGAAUCUUCCGCAAUGGACGAAAGUCUGACGGAGCAACGCCGCGUGAGUGAUGAAGGUUUUCGGAUCGUAAAACUCUGUUGUUAGGGAAGAACAAGUACUAGAGUAACUGCUAGUACCUUGACGGUACCUAACCAGAAAGCCACGGCUAACUANGUGCCAGCCGCCGCCGUAA
rnacentral:rRNA from 1 species